rnacentral:rRNA from 1 species
AGAGUUUGAUCCUGGCUCAGGAUGAACGCUGGCGGCGUGCCUAACACAUGCAAGUCGAACGGAGUUAUAUGAAGCCUUCGGGCUGAUUAUAACUUAGUGGCGGACGGGUGAGUAACGCGUGGGUAACCUGCCUCAUACAGGGGGAUAACAGCCGGAAACGGCUGCUAAAACCGCAUAACAUUGCGUUGUCGCAUGACAGUGCAAUUAAAUAUUUAUAGGUAUGAGAUGGGCCCGCGUCUGAUUAGCUAGUUGGUAGGGUAACGGCCUACCAAGGCGACGAUCAGUAGCCGGCUUGAGAGAGUGACCGGCCACAUUGGGACUGAGACACGGCCCAAACUCCUACGGGAGGCAGCAGUGGGGAAUAUUGCACAAUGGGGGAAACCCUGAUGCAGCGACGCCGCGUGAGUGAAGAAGUAUUUCGGUAUGUAAAGCUCUAUCAGCAGGGAUUUAAAAUGACGGUACCUGACUAAGAAGCCCCGGCUAACUACGUGCCAGCAGCCGCGGUAAUACGUAGGGGGCAAGCGUUAUCCGGAUUUACUGGGUGUAAAGGGAGCGUAGGUGGUUCGGUAAGUCAGAUGUGAAAGCCCGGGGCUCAACCCCGGGACUGCAUUUGAAACUAUCGUACUUGAGUGCAGGAGAGGUAAGUGGAAUUCCUAGUGUAGCGGUGAAAUGCGUAGAUAUUAGGAGGAACACCAGUGGCGAAGGCGGCUUACUGGACUGUAACUGACACUGAGGCUCGAAAGCGUGGGGAGCAAACAGGAUUAGAUACCCUGGUAGUCCACGCGGUAAACGAUGAAUACUAGGUGUCGGGGGUCAAAAGACCUCCGGUGCCGCAGCUAACGCAAUAAGUAUUCCACCUGGGGAGUACGUUCGCAAGAAUGAAACUCAAAGGAAUUGACGG